rnacentral:lncRNA from 1 species
GGAAAAGUGAGAAAGGGAGGGGAGGAGGGAACUCCAGUGGAAAACCUCCUCAUUAGGGAAACAUCUAGCACCAUAGAAAUUAGAACACCUGCUUCAUUCACUUAACACCCUUCCUGGGCGCCACACGUUGAAAUAUCCUUUCUUCUGAUUUUAAAAGUUAUAACAAAGUAGGUUGCAUACUGGGCCCUCCAGCAAAAUUUCAGAAAGCUGUCCGUUGGCCCACGGGAAUUGCGUGGCAUAUGGCCUCCUCCAGGGCGCUGGUAAGAGUGUUGUAGGUCGGAGCCUUGGGGGUGGCUCUGAACUUUCUACAGAGGCUUCAGUGUAGUACUCUGGAGUGAUUGUUGAAGAAGGACAAACCCACUGGGGCCUUUCGUACAGUAAGGCUUACCUGUCCCUGAGCCAACCUCCUAUCCAGUGAGCAUCUGUGGUUUGAAGUCAGUCUGAGAGGACACAGAGUUAGUUGUAGGUCCUUCUAACUGGGACAUGUGGGACGCCGCCUCAGCAUGGCCUGAUGAGCAGUGCCAUGUCCGCGCCCAGGAUUCAAACUGGCCAGCCCCAGGUUAGCUAUUCUUAUGUAACAUGUCUAAAACAAUGCUGGUAGAUAGUAAGUUUUCUUACUAUGCUUGUUAGUCAGUUUUUUUUUCUUUUAUUGAGUUAAUGAUAGGUUACAAUCUUGUGCAAUUUCAGUUGUCAUUAAUGUUUGUCAUUCGUGUUGUAGGUGCACCAUUUCACCCUUUGUGCCCACCCCCCACCCCACCUUUCCCCUGGUAGCCACUAAUCUGUUCUCUUUGUCUACAUUUUUAAAUUCCUCAUAUGAGUGGAGUCAUACAGAGAUUGUCCUUCUCUAACUGGCUUAUUUCACUUAACAUAAUUCCCUCAAGGUCCAUCCAUGUUGUUGCAAAUGGGACGAUUUUGUUGUUUUUUAUGACUGAGUAGUAUUCCAUUGCAUAUAUAUAUAUACCACAUCUUCUUUAUCCAAUCAUCUGUUGAUGGGCACUUAGGUUGCUUCCAUGUCUUGGCUAUUGUAAAUAAUGCUGCAAUGAACAUUGGGGUGCAUAGGACUUUUAGAAUUGCUGACUUCAAGUUCUUUGGGUAGAUACCCAGUAGUGGGAUAGCUGGGUCGUAUGGUAGUUCUAUUUUUAAUUUUUUG